AAUUUGAAAUCUGGCGUCUUCGACGUCCGAGUUGUAAUUUGAAGAAGGCGACUUUGUAGCUGGUCCUUGUCUAUGUUCCUUGGAACAGGACGUCAUAGAGGGUGAGAAUCCCGUGUGGCGAGGAUCCCAGUUAUUUGUAAAGUGCUUUCGACGAGUCGAGUUGUUUGGGAAUGCAGCUCUAAGUGGGUGGUAAAUUCCAUCUAAAGCUAAAUAUUGGCGAGAGACCGAUAGCGAACAAGUACAGUGAUGGAAAGAUGAAAAGAACUUUGAAAAGAGAGUGAAAAAGUACGUGAAAUUGUUGAAAGGGAAGGGCAUUUGAUCAGACAUGGCGUUUGCUUCGGCUUUCGCUGGGCCAGCAUCAGUUUUAGCGGUUGGAUAAAUCCUCGGGAAUGUGGCUCUGCUUCGGUAGAGUGUUAUAGCCCGUGGGAAUACAGCCAGCUGGGACUGAGGAUUGCGACUUUUGUCAAGGAUGCUGGCGUAAUGGUUAAAUGCCGC
rnacentral:rRNA from 1 species